ACACCCAAAGGAUAAAAAAAUCCUUCUCCAAGUGAAGUAUGGAUUAAGCUCCUUAUUGAUUUGGAAUCGCUGGAUCAUCCAGUGAAGUAAACUUCUUGUCCACAUAGGAUUGGGCCAUAUGUGUUUUCCUUAUAAAAAAGAAAACAUAUGUGCCCCAGCAAAACAGCAACAAAACGAAAGUCUUAAUAUUAUUCUUCGUUUGCUUCUCCAGACCAGUACAUAGCUUUGCUCAAGCCACCUAUUGCACCAUCAAACAGAAGAGGAUUUCACGUGGUAACCCACAUGCCAUUCCUUAGUUCUUCUCUUUUAUUUUAUUUAUUGAUUGAACUAACUAGGAUUUUUUUUUCAUGGACAGCAAUAACAGUAGCAAUAGAAGACCCUCCAAUUAAUUGGAUGCUUCUGGGCUGACUUGGAACCUAAAGAGACAACUUCUCUUAUUGUCCUUUGUGUGCUAUAACCUUCCCAAGGUCAAUAACCCAAGACAAAGGGAAAGAGAAAUCAUCUUGCCUUUCACGUGAGACUGUGCUGCCAGCUUGAAGGUUUUGGAGAUUUCUCUAUUUGGUGGAGGAAACCACUGUCAUUUUGCUUCAGAAACCCAAGAGAGAACUUGUGGUACCUGCCUUGCCAGCUCCCUUUUUUUUUGUUUGCUGUUGCUGUACCAUUGCCCAUGUCCUUUUCUUUUACUCAAUUCCCAGUCAGAAUAAACCAAAGAAAUAUUCAAGAGAGGGAGGAGGGGCUGUGCGAUACAGCCCCCCUUUUUUUAUUUCAUUACUUUUUUUACGUCCCUUGUUUUUUUCUUUUACAAACAAAACCCAACACACAGAACCACUUUUCCUUUUGCUCCAUUCUUCCUCUGUUGGCUUUUUUCGUUGGCUUGCAGGCAGCUAACACUCAUGAGGAGGCAAUUCAAUUUCCAUGCGCCCCUUUUGGUUUCGGAUGCUUCAUACAGAGAUUUUACACAGGGACUUGUAAUUACAAGCUUUCGCUCUUUUGAUUUUGAUCCCAUGGUGGGUUCAUCUCUACAUCCAUGAUUUGAGGGAUUCUUUGCUCCUGGAAGAGCUUAUUUGGUGGUGCAUGAUGGAAUAGACUAUGCCAUAAAACAUGAUGAUUGAAAUCAUCAUGGAAGGCAAACUUGAAAAUACUGCUGGAGUUCUUUGAGCGGAGCCAAGCCUCAGAGAGAUUCUUAACCUUGGUUAUGAUGAUUUCAAUCAUCAUAGCCAAGAAUUUCUAUGGAUUGAUCAAACAAACUGCUGGGUGCGGAUCGUAUCCUCGGAAUUACUUGAGCGGAGCUGUCCCUUAGAGAGAUUACUGACCCUUUUUAUGAUGAUAGAAAUCAUCAUGGCCAGGAACCCUUGAGUUGAAUGGAACCUGAAAUCUUGAGCAAAAAAUUAGAAAAUUGUGCCAUGGAACUAAUCUUUUUACCUUGAAAUGGCUCUUUCCUUUCUCAAGUCUGCUUGCUAAUUUUUCUUCUUGCUAUGACUGUUCUCCUUUCUGCUCUUUUUCUGUCCUCCUCCUGUCCUUCUCUUCUCCUCCCCUCGUGUCAUGCCUCUUAUAGAGGCUAUCUUAUGAUGAGUUUGAAUUCAAGCUGAUGACCACUUCUCAACC